rnacentral:rRNA from 1 species
AUUGAACGCUGGCGGCAGGCCUAACACAUGCAAGUCGAACGAGUGGCGGACGGGUGAGUAAUGGCUGGGAAACUGCCUGAUGGAGGGGGAUAACUACUGGAAACGGUAGCUAAUACCGCAUACCCUCGGAUGUGCCCAGAUGGGAUUAGCUAGUCGGUGGGGGAAAGGCGCACCUAGGCGACGAUCCCUACCUGGUCUGGGAGGAUGACCAGCCACAGUGGAAAUGAGACACGGUCCAGAUGCCUACGGGAGGCAGCAGUGGGGCAUAUUGCGCAAUGGGCGAAAGCCUGAUGCAGCCAUGCCGCGUGUAUGAAGAAGGUCUUCGGGUUUGAAAGUACUUUUAGCGGGGAGGCGUUACCCGCAGAAGAAGCACCGGCUAACUCCGUGCCAGCAGCCGCGGUAAUUC